rnacentral:rRNA from 1 species
AUUGAACGCUGGCGGCAGGCCUAACACAUGCAAGUCGAAUGGUAACAGGAAACCGCUUGCUGUUUCGCUGACGAGUGGCGGACGGGUGAGUAAUGUCUGGGAAACUGCCUGAUGGAGGGGGAUAACUACUGGAAACGGUAGCUAAUACCGCAUAACGUCGCAAGACCAAAGAGGGGGACCUUCGGGCCUCUUGCCAUCAGCUUUGCCCAGACGGGAUUAGCUAGUAGGUGGGGUAACGGCUCACCUAGGCGACGAUCCCUAGCUGGUCUGAGAGGAUGACCAGCCACACUGGAACUGAGACACGGUCCAGACUCCUACGGGAGGCAGCAGUGGGGAAUAUUGCACAAUGGGCGCAAGCCUGAUGCAGCCAUGCCGCGUGUAUGAAGAAGGCCUUCGGGUUGUAAAGUACUUUCAGCGGGGAGGAAGGGAGUAAAGUUAAUACCUUUGCUCAUUGACGUUACCCGCAGAAGAAGCACCGGCUAACUCCGUG